AGAGUGAGGGCAGGUGAGAUUGUGAGAGGAGUGAGCUCUGCGCUCCUUUUUUAACUUUCAUUUCUUCUUUGGGAGCUUCAAUUUGCAAGAACGCUAGCCAGUGGAGGAAGUUUUUGAACAACUAAGAACUUUGCGAGCAGGACUUUCAACUAAAGUUCGAUUGAAGAUUUUUGGUAGAUUGACAAAGCAUCACACCACUACAAAAAUCAAGAACAAUGUAAAUUUUUUUUUUUU
rnacentral:misc_RNA from 1 species